GAUGAAGAACGCAGCGAAAUGCGAUAAGUAAUGUGAAUUGCAGAAUUCAGUGAAUCAUCGAAUCUUUGAACGCACAUUGCGCCCGCCAGUAUUCUGGCGGGCAUGCCUGUUCGAGCGUCAUUACAACCCUCAGGCCCCCGGGCCUGGCGUUGGGGAUCGGCGGAAGCUCCCUGUGGGCACACGCCGUCCCUCAAAUACAGUGGCGGUCCCGCCGCAGCUUCCAUUGCGUAGUAGCUAACACCUCGCAACUGGAGAGCGGCGCGGCCAUGCCGUAAAACACCCAACUUCUGAAUGUUGACCUCGAAUCAGGUAGGAAUACCCGCUGAACUUAAGCAUAUCAAUAAGCGGAGGA
rnacentral:misc_RNA from 1 species